GUGCCAGCCGCCGCGGUAAUACCGGCAGCUCGAGUGAUGUCCAAUAUUAUUGGGCCUAAAGCGUCCGUAGCUGGCCGGACAAGUCCGUUGGGAAAUCCACCCGCUUAACGGGUGGGCGUCCAGCGGAAACUGUCCGGCUUGGAGCCGGAAGACCUGAGGGGUACGUCCGGGGUAGGAGUGAAAUCCCGUAAUCCUGGACGGACCACCGAUGGCGAAAGCACUUCGAGAAAACGGAUCCGACAGUGAGGGACGAAAGCCAGGGUCUCCAACCGGAUUAGAUACCCUGGUAGUCC
rnacentral:rRNA from 1 species